GACGAACGCUGGCGGCGUGCUUAACACAUGCAAGUCGAGCGGAAAGGCCCUUCGGGGUACUCGAGCGGCGAACGGGUGAGUAACACGUGAGCAACCUGCCCUGGACUUUGGGAUAACCCUCGGAAACGGGGGCUAAUACCGGAUAUUACCUUUGCCCGCAUGGGUGUUGGUGGAAAGUUUUUCGGUCUGGGAUGGGCUCGCGGACUAUCAGCUUGUUGGUGGGGUGAUGGCCUACCAAGGCGACGACGGUUAGCCGGCCUGAGAGGGCGACCGGCCACACUGGGACUGAGACACGGCCCAGACUCCUACGGGAGGCAGCAGUGGGGAAUAUUGCACAAUGGGCGGAAGCCUGAUGCAGCGACGCCGCGUGAGGGA
rnacentral:rRNA from 1 species